CAAAUUAUUUUGAAUUCACUUAUUUUUAGGUGUACGAAUAAGACCCAGGCUUCGACCAAAGCCGCGACCAGGUAUAACAGUGUUGGUUUUUUUGGGUUUAUUUUACCUUAUUACCGGACUCUUGUGUUGACUACUGUAGUGAAAGUGCAUACUCUGUUUCUUUAGGAGCAAAAUACAGAUUCUUUGGACGCUAUCGUGCUCCACCCAAAAAGAUACUUGGCAGCCCAACAGUGACGUUCAGAAGUCUGAAGUUUGCAAGAAAGAACUGCCAGCGAGUAGCGCGCAUGCGCCGUGCCUGGGCCUUCGCUUUGCGAUUUGGUCGCCAGUGUUACAUCGCUCAAAAAAGUCCGCGCAAGUUUACAAAGUUCGGUUUUCCUCGAACGAAAAUGCCUGGAGCACUGAAGGUUUAUAUCGCUAAAGGAGGUCGUUCCAUACCAAUAAUAAGACCCAGGCCUCGACCCAGACCAAGGCCUUUCCCCCGUCCGAGGCCCCGACCGAGACCAGGACGCAAAACGUACAGGUACAGCGGACUCUACCGACCACCACCAAGGAGAAUGCUGGGAAGUCCUAUUAGGAAAUUUAGAAGCCGACUUUUCGCACGCAGACGGUGUGAAAAAAUAGCAAGAUCAGGCAGAUAUCGAGCAUACGCCUUACAAUAUGGCCGUUACUGUUAUGUUGCUCGGUUAACAAGUAGAAAGUUUACCAGAUAUGGACGCAGCGUAUCCAGGAGACCCAGUGCUCUUAAAGUCUUCAUAGGGACCAGUGGUACGUUUUCCAACAAAUACUAUGUGGGGCUUACUUUGUAACUAGAAGGUUAAGGAUUGUCAGAGAGAUUUAAUAAAAUAAGAUUUUAUCAAAAGAGACGAUCGAGCAAAAUUGGUGUACAGCUUUACAGACCACUAUGGAAGCUAACAUUGUUUACAAAAUCCAUUUGCUCAACUGAGCAAUUUUGCAACAAGGCCAACCUUUAAAACUAAGCUGUCACAGAUUAAGACCCCAUGAGCAGCUUAAAACGAGGAAAAUAUCACUUUUUACAUUCUAAGUGUUAUAGUUUAUCUCCUGGCUGAUUCAAUACUACCGCAAACUUGAGCAACGUCUUACACUGACCGUUUUCAGUUAGCAACUAGUAGCUAUUUUGCUGGUUCUAAUGCUGUACAUUAACUUGUGCAUCUGUUAUCUUUGUAUUUAGGAGGCAUUCUCAGACCUAGACCUCGAAUAAGACCUCGACCUCGAAUAAGGCCUCGACCCAGAAUUCGACCCAGACCUCGAAUCAGACCUCGACCUCGAAUAAGACCUCGACCUCGAAUCAGACCUCGACCCAGAAUUCGACCCAGACCUCGAAUCAGACCUCGUCCAAGGCCUCGGAUACCAGGAAGAAGAAGAGUUGUCCGCAAAUAUCUUGGAAGCUUCCGAGCUCCACCGAGACUGGGACGACCAGUGCGCACCUUCAGACGUCGAACAUACGUUGUGCGCUCGUGUUUCCGUUUAGCCCGAGCGCAAAGGGCAAGAGCUUUUGCCAUCCGAACAGGACGACGAGGAGUCAAGUGUUACUUGUCGAAAAUGACUUCGGUUAAAUUUACAAGACUCGGCAAAACUCGAUUUGGAGGCCUUAAGGUUUACGUUUUGAGAAGAGGUAAUUUACCAACAUUUAAUGUGUCAGCUAAAACAGUUUCUACGUUAAAACAAAUAACGUUUCCAUCAAGU
rnacentral:misc_RNA from 1 species